UACAGAGGGUGCGAGCGUUGUCCGGAAUCACUGGGCGUAAAGGGCGCGUAGGCGGCUCGGUCAGCGUGCGGUGAAAGCCCGGGGCCUCAACCCCGGGUCGGCCGUGCGAACUGCUGGGCUGGAGCACUGUAGAGGCAGGUGGAAUUCCGGGUGUAGCGGUGGAAUGCGUAGAGAUCCGGAAGAACACCGGUGGCGAAGGCGGCCUGCUGGGCAGUAGCUGACGCUGAUGCGCGACAGCGUGGGGAGCAAACAGG
rnacentral:rRNA from 1 species